UAGGGAAUCUUCGGCAAUGGACGAAAGUCUGACCGAGCAACGCCGCGUGAGUGAAGAAGGUUUUCGGAUCGUAAAACUCUGUUGUUAGAGAAGAACAAGGACGUUAGUAACUGAACGUCCCCUGACGGUAUCUAACCAGAAAGCCACGGCUAACUACGUGCCAGCAGCCGCGGUAAUACGUAGGUGGCAAGCGUUGUCCGGAUUUAUUGGGCGUAAAGCGAGCGCAGGCGGUUUCUUAAGUCUGAUGUGAAAGCCCCCGGCUCAACCGGGGAGGGUCAUUGGAAACUGGGAGACUUGAGUGCAGAAGAGGAGAGUGGAAUUCCAUGUGUAGCGGUGAAAUGCGUAGAUAUAUGGAGGAACACCAGUGGCGAAGGCGGCUCUCUGGUCUGUAAAUGACGCUGAGGCUCGAAAGCGGGGGGAGCAAACAGG
rnacentral:rRNA from 1 species